rnacentral:rRNA from 1 species
CUAGCUACAGGCUUAACACAUGCAAGUCGAGGGGCAGCAUGGUCUUAGCUUGCUAAGGCCGAUGGCGACCGGCGCACGGGUGAGUAACACGUAUCCAACCUGCCGUCUACUCUUGGACAGCCUUCUGAAAGGAAGAUUAAUACAAGAUGGCAUCAUGAGUCCGCAUGUUCACAUGAUUAAAGGUAUUCCGGUAGACGAUGGGGAUGCGUUCCAUUAGAUAGUAGGCGGGGUAACGGCCCACCUAGUCUUCGAUGGAUAGGGGUUCUGAGAGGAAGGUCCCCCACAUUGGAACUGAGACACGGUCCAAACUCCUACGGGAGGCAGCAGUGAGGAAUAUUGGUCAAUGGGCGAGAGCCUGAACCAGCCAAGUAGCGUGAAGGAUGACUGCCCUAUGGGUUGUAAACUUCUUUUAUAAAGGAAUAAAGUCGGGUAUGGAUACCCGUUUGCAUGUACUUUAUGAAUAAGGAUCGGCUAACUCCGUGCCAGCAGCCGCGGUAAUACGGAGGAUCCGAGCGUUAUCCGGAUUUAUUGGGUUUAAAGGGAGCGUAGAUGGAUGUUUAAGUCAGUUGUGAAAGUUUGCGGCUCAACCGUAAAAUUGCAGUUGAUACUGGAUAUCUUGAGUGCAGUUGAGGCAGGCGGAAUUCGUGGUGUAGCGGUGAAAUGCUUAGAUAUCACGAAGAACUCCGAUUGCGAAGGCAGCCUGCUAAGCUGCAACUGACAUUGAGGCUCGAAAGUGUGGGUAUCAAACAGGAUUAGAUACCCUGGUAGUCCACACGGUAAACGAUGAAUACUCGCUGUUUGCGAUAUACGGCAAGCGGCCAAGCGAAAGCGUUAAGUAUUCCACCUGGGGAGUACGCCGGCAACGGUGAAACUCAAAGGAAUUGACGGGGGCCCGCACAAGCGGAGGAACAUGUGGUUUAAUUCGAUGAUACGCGAGGAACCUUACCCGGGCUUAAAUUGCAGAUGAAUUACGGUGAAAGCCGUAAGCCGCAAGGCAUCUGUGAAGGUGCUGCAUGGUUGUCGUCAGCUCGUGCCGUGAGGUGUCGGCUUAAGUGCCAUAACGAGCGCAACCCUUGUUGUCAGUUACUAACAGGUUCCGCUGAGGACUCUGACAAGACUGCCAUCGUAAGAUGUGAGGAAGGUGGGGAUGACGUCAAAUCAGCACGGCCCUUACGUCCGGGGCUACACACGUGUUACAAUGGGGGGUACAGAGGGCCGCUACCACGCGAGUGGAUGCCAAUCCCCAAAACCUCUCUCAGUUCGGACUGGAGUCUGCAACCCGACUCCACGAAGCUGGAUUCGCUAGUAAUCGCGCAUCAGCCACGGCGCGGUGAAUACGUUCCCGGGCCUUGUACACACCGCCCGUCAAGCCAUGGGAGCCGGGGGUACCUGAAGUGCGUAACCGCGAGGAGCGCCCUAGGGUAAAACUGGUGACUGGGGC